GUGUUGAAAUUUCCAGGAUGCAAAACGAAGGGGCAAUUCAAAACAUUCAUCUCCACUUCUCAACAACAUGGUCCCUGUCACCAUCCACCUCGACUUCAUGUAUCUUCUGCUUCUACCCGUGUAACAAGUACAUGUCUCUCAAAACAGAAUUUUGGCUUUUCCAGAUUGGCAAAUACCUCUUAGUUAAAUGUGGCUUUCAAGUAUGUGUUUACUCCUUUAUGUUUCAAUUUUCCUUCAAUUUUGGCCUGGAGAGUGUCUCAACUAAGAAGCUAAAAAGGGAAAGAAAAGAAAAGCAAUUAUGUUUUUUUCCCCUGCGGCCUAUACAAACACAUACACACCAAGUGUGUUUAAUUUGCAACAAUAUUGAAUAUGUGAGGGAAAAGUCGAGAAAAGACCACUAG
rnacentral:lncRNA from 1 species